GCGCAACAUACAGGACCACUCAGAGGGCUGGCCAAUGAAAAACACAAGAGAGGCACAGGACAAAUAUGAUCCCAAAGGCAGUGUGGCGCAACAUACAGGACCACUCAGAGGGCUGGCCAAUGAAAAACACAAGAGAUGCACAGGACAAAUGUGA